rfam:Paenibacillus sp. JCM 10914 DNA, contig: contig_1.
GAGGCGGUAUCCCAUUACGUGAACUGCACUCGAUGGUUUCUAUCUUGAGUUUGAGGAUUAAAGAACACCUUCAUAACUGUUAUGUCGGUUACGUUGGAUUCUGCUCUGAGCCGAAAGGACCGAGACAGAAGG